GGGCUGGUAGUCUAGCCGGUUAGGAUACUGCCCCGACAUGGCAGUGAUCGUGAGUUCGAAUCUCACUCAGCCCACCA
rnacentral:tRNA from 1 species